rnacentral:rRNA from 1 species
GACGAACGCUGGCGGCGUGCCUCAAACAUGCAAGUCGAGCGAACGGAGACCGAACCGCAAGGGGAGGUCGAAGUUAGCGGCGAACGGGUGAGUAACACGUGGGCAACCUGCCCUUAAGUUUGGGAUAACGGUCCGAAAGGGCCGCUAAUACCGGAUAAUGUCCUAAGGUCGCAUGACCAUAGGAAGAAAGCCGAAAGGCGCUUUUGGAUGAGCUCGCGACCCAUCAGCUAGUUGGUAAGGUAACGGCUUACCAAGGCGACGACGGGUAGCCGGUCUGAGAGGAUGAUCGGCCACACUGGGACUGAGAUACGGCCCAGACUCCUACGGGAGGCAGCAGUUGGGAAUAUUGGGCAAUGGGCGAAAGCCUGACCCAGCGACGCCGCGUGAGGGAUGAAGGCCUUCGGGUCGUAAACCUCUGUCAUCGGGGACGAAGGAAGUGACGGUACCCGAGGAGGAAGCCCCUGCUAACUACGUG